AGGCUGGAGGAUAUGCUUGGUCUAAAGAUCCGAACGCCCGCACUUCCGGAAUUGCACGGUUCGGUCUGAAGCGUGUGCGUGUGUCUGUGGCUCGAUGGGUGAUGAGCUGGCAAGAUACGUUAACAGACCCCCUGAGGCCUGGACCACCUGGCCAGAGAAUCCUAAACCAGAGACAUCCUGAGUCCCGGAACCUGAAUGUCACAGAAAGCACAAUAUAAGAACUCUAGUCAAUAUCUUGUAAUAACCUAUAAUGGAAAAGAAUCUGAAAAAGAAUAUAUAUGUGUAUGUACAUAUAUAUACACAUAUAUAUGUAUAACUGAAUCACUUUGCUGUAUACCUGAAACUAACACAAUAUUAUAAAUUAACUAUACUUCAGUUUAAAGAGAGGUUAAAAAAUGUCACGGAAAUGUCCCAAGAUGAUUAAUCCCAGCCUCUUUGUUCUUCCCCUUUAUAAAACCCCCUCACUCAAAGAGCAAGUGGAGCGGAUCUGAGGCGUGUCUCCCACUUCCUUGAUGGGUGCCUUGCAAAUAAACCCUGUACUUUACUUCACCACAACCUGCUGUAGUAUAUUGGCUAUGCUGCUUGUUUGGCAAGCAGACCCGAGUUCGGUUCAAUAACAAUUUUGUCCACCAUGAAGAGACCAUCAACUGGAACUGUUUUUGUAAAAGGGAAGGAAAAUGACAUGAAAUUCUUUGUGUGUAGGCUUUUAUGCUAGUGUAUCAAAGUUAGCCUUUUGGAAUUGGUUUGUCUUUUAUCUGUGUGUGUGUGUGUGUGUUUGUGCGUGUGUAUUUGUGCUAAAGAAGGUACACUAUUUUACUUGGUGGACAUUAAACAUUAAACAAAAGUUCAGUUCCUAAAAAUAGCCCUUUAGGAUGCAUCCUACAAAAUUGGACCACCUUUUGUUCUGGUACCAUGACUAAAGCCAAAAAGAUGAUUUUUUCUUUUUUUUUUUGGUAACACUGUGUAACCACAGUAUUCUUUAGACUCUGGAGAAAAAUGCCCAAGAUUAGGCUCAUUUGAUAAUCCAUAACUAGUUUUGCCAGCUUGAUAAAACAUCUUUUCAGAAUUCUGACCCUAAGAGAGCAGGUUCUAGGAGGAGCUUGCUUUUCUCUCCCUGUACCUUGAGCUGUAAAUGUUCUACCAGGGCUCUCAGGAACUCCUGUCUUAUCUAGGCAUCUCCAAUUCCUGAGACUGAGAGGAAAAAUGGGGGGGGUGGAGGGAAGAGGCCUUUUUAAACUUAACUUAUUCCAACUGUUAUUUAUAAACUAGUGAGUUUUAUAUUGUAAUACCUGAUUCAUGACUAAGUUAAAAUGAAGCUAUGAGGUCUCUAGUUGUAUCUGCCUAUAUGUCUGUGUGUACAUUAUACAUAUGAUAUGUCUCAACUUCCAGACCUUAUUAACAAAAUUAAUUUCUUGCGACUUCCCUGGUGGCUCAGUGGUUAAGAAUCCGCCUGCCAAUGCGGGGGACAUGGGUUCGAGCCCUUGUCCGGGAAGAUCCCACAUGCUGUAGAGCAUCUAAGAACGUGUGCCACAACUACUGAGCCUGUGCUCUAGAGCCCACAAGCCAUAACUACUGAAGCCCAUGCAACUAGAGCCUGUGCUCUGCAACAAGAGAAGCCACCACGAUGAGAAGCCCGUGCACUGCAACAAAGAGUAGCCCCCACUUGCUGCAACUAGAGAAAGCCCGCACAGCAGCGAAGGCCCAACGCAGUCAAAAAUAAAUAAAUUAAUUUAAAAAAAUUAUUAAAAAGGAAUAUACAAGAAACUAAACCAAAGAAAUUUCAGGUUUAUGUGAACUGGGAAAUAUUCAGUAUUAAAUUAACUUUGGGCAUUAAAGUUCAUUUUUGCUGGUUUCAUCAGACAUGUCCUUGGAGCCAUCAACAUUAAGUAUGAUAUUUUUAUUGUACCUAGGUUUACUGGAGGUUAAAUAAGAUCUUAUUAUAUCUGUUGCAGAAUUUGUCAGCAAGAAAAAUAACUUGGUAUGAUGAAAUUUUUUUUUUUUUUUUUUUUUUGCGCUACACGGGCCUCUCACUGCUGCGGCCUCUCCCGUUGUGGAGCACAGGUUCCAGACACGCAGGCCCAGCGGCCAUGGCUCACAGGCCCAGCUGCUCCGCGGCAUGUGGGAUCUUCCCGGACCGGGGCACGAACCCGUGUCCCCUGCAUCGGCAGGCAGACUCUCAACCACUGCACCACCAGGGAAGCCCGAUGAAAUUUUUUAAAGUAAAUUAAAUGUAAAUGAGAUAAGUUUUUUUUUUUAAAGGAGAACUCUUUAAGAAUAAUUAUGUUUUAUGACUGUCUACUUAAAAGUAGUUUCUUCAGAUAUUUGGUAACUUGAAACUUUAGAGUUUUGCUAAAUUAAAUGAUGGAAGUUUAUUGAAUAUUUUACAAGUUUGCUAAUCUACAGAGUGCUAAUGUAAAAAACAGUUCAUAGUUGCUUAUUUCUUAGUUUUCACUAGAAAUUUAGGUUUUCAAGAGUUGAGAAUUCUAAUUAAUAUAUUUAAUUAAAACUAAAAUUUAAUAAGAAAACACCUUUGUAUGCAAGGAAAAGAAGGUAUAAGAAAUGGAAAUUCAUUUUUUUAAGAGAGAGAAAGUAAUUUGGUCCUAAAACUGGUUAUUUCUAAAUGGGAAAGAAAAUAUGGGACAAAUUAAUAUGGGUAUAGAAAGUUGUGGAAGCUUUGCAAGAGGGAAAGGUCUUUAGAAAGGAAUUCUAUGUGUAGUCAGGACUAACGAAGAUUAGAAUGAGUUUAAUUGAGUAAAUGAAUUUUAAUAUUAAAGGUAAGAUGGUGUAAAACCUGGGUUUUCUCUGUCUAUGAAGAGAACAAAGUUUUUUUGGACUGUUGAGCUGCUUUUGAUAACAGAUUGUAAGUUUCUUUCCAAGCUUUUAAGUAAUUUAAAAUGUUCUGUAUUUGCUUUUGAAAUCUUUUAUUGUCACUUUGGUUAAAUGAAUAAGUAUUGUUGCCUAUGGUCCUAUCUGACCAAGCCCUAUGGUCCUAUCUGACCAGUGCCCUAUGGUCCUAUCUGACCAAGCGUGAUACCUCCCGCGCCUGGUGCAGUGUCCUGCUGGGCAGAGCCACCUCUGGGGUACAAGGCUAGCGUGGGAAGGGACUUGGAAUUGGAACACAAACAAAAAAUCAAAACCCUCAACAUCUGCACUUGGCACCUGUCAUUCUCAACAUCUGUAGAUGAGAAAUCCAAAGAGGAUUGAGAAUGACCCACGAGCAGGUCCUCACAGGUGCAAGAAGUCAGAGGACCUGUUCAUUACCGAGGACCAGAGCGUCCAAAGCGUCAACCAGCUGCCAGCUAGAGGGGGCCUGGGCAAGGUACUGAAGGCUGUGAGAUGAGACCUUGGUAUCUCUUACAGCAGAAAAACCCAACUGGGUGCUUCCCUUCUGUUCUUAACAGCGACCUGCAAUAGGGGACCAGGGAUUUGGUGAGAAUUGAGACCCCAGCUCACUUCCUGGGUAAGUUCCCGGAACCCCUCCCUCUGCAGCUGCAGCCACCCUGGUUGCUCUCGCCUCACAUCACAGGGGCCCGGCCUCUGCCCCGGAGUCAGUCUGCAGGCUCUCCAACUUGUUUUUAGAGUCGGUAUCUUGACACAUGGGUUUCUCCAGACCCUAUCCGCUCUUCUUAGAAGGGAGGGCCUCCAUUUCAGUCUCACAAAUCUGUCAAGAAGCUACCUUUAACUGCACCUGUUGGUCUUACAAGGGAGGCCUUCCUGCGGGACAUACGGAAUCUGGAAUUUUAUCGCCAGAACUUUGUGAUGCCCCUCAGGGGAUACAAAGGUGGAAACUUAGACCGUGUCACCACCAGAUUGUAGAGAAUGAGACUCUGUGCUACUGAUGUUGGUCAGAGGUGGGGAGGGUGCACCUGAGUAGUCACUGAGGAAUUCCUGUGUUCACCCAAUGCUUGUUGAACACAUAUUGGAUAUGGGGGCCCAUAGAGGUAAACAAGCCUAGUCUCACCUUCUGAUUAGAGAAGACAGACCUAUGUCUGAACAAGCACUAGUGAAUCAGUGUGCUGUGUGAGGUGAGGCUAGGGCUGGGGAUGGGGAUAGGUGUCUCCAGAGCAAGACCACAGGCUUGCACAACUCCAGGGGCACCAGGCAUGUGGAAUGUGAUGUGACUGUUGGCCCCUGGGACUGUGCAGUGCGGCAGCCUUAUUCCUGGAGCUGAAGACCCCAGGCCUGGGCUUAAGAGAUGAGCUGAAGUUCUGCAGAUAGGAAAGAAGGUAGCAGUGAGCCAUGGCUUUCUAAGUAAAGGGACCAGCAAUUGAAAGAAACAUAGGUGUAAAAGGGUAUUCUCUCCUCAAGCAUGCCAGCCACUACGUGGGCCUUCGGUGAGGGUAUCUUGGGUGCAAAUGAGAGGUAGAGAGUAAGGGUCCGAUCCAGGACAUUGAGAAUUUUCAUCCUAAAAUAGUUUCCAGGCUCUACCUCUUCCCACAGUUGCUCUGCUAAGAGAAUUGGUCUCAGGUUUUUGGUUUUUUUUUUUUUGGAAGAAAAAAUUGAAAGAACUUUCCAGGCCAGAGGCAGAAUUGCAAGAUGGUUAAGAAUGUGGGAGCCUGAGCACCAUUUUAACCAAGUGAUCCAAGUGAUGAAAUAAAAAUUCACACUUUAAAGGCAAGACAAGAAAAAUUUAAACAGAAAACUUUCUCUGUCCUUUGGCCUCCUCUCUCCCCUCUAGCACCUUUGUGCAUCUCCAUUAUGUGUUAACUAGACCCUCCCCAAUGGCAGAAAUACCUGCUCAAUCAGAAAGAUAAAUUUUUCUCCUUCUGACACCAGCCAUGUAACUCCUUAGAUGACACCAUUCCUUUCUCAAUCUUGUAAAGGGUCACGAUGACCCACCACUCCCUUUGUCUGUGCAGAUAUCUUUGGUGAACUUUAUAUACAAAGCCAAUAUAACAUUUCCAUUAAAGAUAUCGAUUGGUGCAUAACAGACUGGUCAGACAACCUGGGGAGAUACUGGGCUGCAUCUAAUGGAAGUUCUUAGCUUGAAUACUUACUUAUGACCUUAUUAAUGUUACUAGCUGUAUUACUUCUAUUCUGCCUAUUUUACAAGAUUAUUAUUCUCUCAUUACCACAUACGUGACAGCCUCUGAUAAAAAUAAUGAUGAUGGGGGCUUCCCUGGUGGCGCAGUGGUUAAGAAUCCGCCUGCCAAUGCAGGGGAUACGGGUUCAAGCCCUGGUCUGGGAAGAUCCCACAUGCCGCGGAGCAACUAAGCCCGUGCGCCACAACUACUGAGCCUACACUCUAGAGCCCGCAAGCCACAACUACUGAAGCCUGUGUGCCACAGCUACUGAAGCCCACGCGCCUAGAGCCCGUGCUCUGAAACAAGAGAAGCCACCGCAAUGAGAAGCCCGCGCACCGCAACGAAGAGUAGCCCCCGCUCUCAGAAACUAGAGAAAACCCGCGUGCAGCAGCGAAGACCCAAUGCAGCCAAAAAUUAAAUAAAUGAAUAAGUAAAUACAUUUAUUUAAAAAAAAAAUGAUGUCUAGGCAACUUGAAACAGUUGAGCAAAUAUAUAGUCCUCUAAGAUCAAUGAUUGUAAUACUGUAACUCUAGAUAUGGGAAGAAAGAAGAGGGUACCAUUUUCUGGACCAUAACAGACUAGUAAGACAGGGGAUCUAGAGGCUUUUGGCUACUGUUAACAGGGCCUAGUCCUAUAAUAGCGUGUCGAGUGGCCUAUCAACAAAAUCUUCUCCUGACCUGAGAAUGAGCAUUCCUGAGGCCGCGGGACAAAUCGGUCACGAAAUGCCUCCCAAACCUUGGUCGAAAUUAAGGCUGAAAGGAAGGGGAUUGUGAUACAAAGAAUGUUGCCCACCAUCCAGUUCUAUGAGAAUCAAGUUGUUAGCCACUGCAUUCGCUGACUUACAUACACCUUGAAAUGGGUUCAGGGAUCAGGAUGAAGCACUUUGUGCUCUAGGAAAACUGACAGAACCGGCCCUCAGAUAAUUGGAUAUUUUCGGGAAAAAUUUUAUGAACUCAGCUUCUUGCAUUUUCCCAGACUUAGAAAAGCACGAAAGCCAUUAACUAAGAUAUCUGUUCAUCUGAAUAAUAGUAACUUUCUACUGAGAUGUGUGCUUGGUUGCAUGUACCCCUUCACCAAACUCACAUAUAUACUAGCCUCCCCGCUUACCUCUUUGGAACAGUUCUCAGAGCUGUCUGAAGGACUGUCUCCCAGAUUAUAAUCCCCAGGUUGGCUCAAUUAAAAUUUUCCAUUUCUUUCUU